GACGAACGCUGGCGGUGUGCUUAACACAUGCAAGUCGAACGGAAAGGCCCUGCUGUUGUGGGGUGCUCGAGUGGCGAACGGGUGAGUAACACGUGAGUAACCUGCCCUUGACUUUGGGAUAACUUCAGGAAACUGGGGCUAAUAACGGAUAGGAGCUCCUGCUGCAUGGUGGGGGUUGGAAAGUUUCGGCGGUUGGGGAUGGACUCGCGGCUUAUCAGCUUGUUGGUGGGGUAGUGGCUUACCAAGGCUUUGACGGGUAGCCGGCCUGAGAGGGUGACCGGCCAGAUUGGGACUGAGAUACGGGCCAGACUCCUACAGGAGGCAGCAGUGGGGAAUAUUGCACAAUGGGCGGAAGCCUGAUGCAGCAACGCCGCGUGCGGGAUGACAGCCUUCUGGUUGUAAACCGCUUUCGCCUGUGACGAAGCGUGAGUGACGGUAAUGGGUAAAGAAGCACCGGCUAACUACGUG
rnacentral:rRNA from 1 species